AAAUCAGCUAGUGCGGCAAUAUAAACUAAACAGUUUGAAAUAGUAGGAUAAUAUUGCCCAGAAAAUGCAUUUGUAGCAACUUGAAAAUGUUCUAAAAAAUCUAAAAGAAUUUUAACAUUCGUCCAAUCUUGGUUAGUAAGCAUUUCAUCAUUAUCCUCACCACCUACCCGAGAAUUAAACGUUGCAUUAAUACAAUCCAUCUAGUUGGGCAAGGUUUAGGAACCUUUCUUUCUCUAAGGCCAUAUUCAUCACGUUUUUUAAAAUACUCUCUAAGUCUAGUUCUACGGUUUGAAUAAAAAGGCCAAUUAAGAGC
rnacentral:lncRNA from 1 species